GACGUAGGGGGCCAGCGUUGUUCGGAAUUACUGGGUGUAAAGGGUUCGUAGGCGGUGCGGCAAGUUGGGAGUGAAAUCUCUGGGCUUAACCCAGAGGCUGCUUCCAAAACUGCUGUGCUUGAGUGUGGGAGAGGCGCGUGGAAUUCCCGGUGUAGCGGUGAAAUGCGCAGAUAUCGGGAAGAACACCCGUGGCGAAGGCGGCUCUCUGGGACGGUACUGACGCUGAGACGCGAAAGCGUGGGGAGCGAACAGG
rnacentral:rRNA from 1 species